CUCUCUACAAUUUGUAAGUCGCUCUGGAUAAGAGCGUCUGCUAUUUGACUUAAA
rfam:Salmo salar isolate Sally breed double haploid chromosome ssa13, whole genome shotgun sequence.